GCCUAAUACAUGCAAGUCGAACGAGCUUCCGUUGAAUGACGUGCUUGCACUGAUUUCAACAUUGAAGCGAGUGGCGAACUGGUGAGUAACACGUGGGUAACUUGCCCAGAAGCAGGGGAUAACACUUGGAAACAGGUGCUAAUACCGUAUAACAACAGAAACCGCAUGGUUUCUGUUUGAAAGGUGGUUUCGGCUAUCACUUCUGGAUGGACCCGCGGCGUAUUAGUUAGUUGGUGAGGUAAAGGCCCACCAAGACAAUGAUACGUAGCCGACCUGAGAGGGUAAUCGGCCACAUUGGGACUGAGACACGGCCCAAACUCCUACGGGAGGCAGCAGUAGGGAAUCUUCCACAAUGGACGAAAGUCUGAUGGAGCAAUGCCGCGUGAGUGAAGAAGGGUUUCGGCUCGUAAAACUCUGUUGUUAAAGAAGAACACUUCUGAGAGUAACUGUUCAGAAGUUGACGGUAUUUAACCAGAAAGCCACGGCUAACUACGUGCCAGCAGCCGCGGUAAUACGUAGGUGGCAAGCGUUGUCCGGAUUUAUUGGGCGUAAAGCGAGCGCAGGCGGUUUCUUAAGUCUGAUGUGAAAGCCUUCGGCUUAACCGGAGAAGUGCAUCGGAAACUGGGAGACUUGAGUGCAGAAGAGGACAGUGGAACUCCAUGUGUAGCGGUGGAAUGCGUAGAUAUAUGGAAGAACACCAGUGGCGAAGGCGGCUGUCUAGUCUGUAACUGACGCUGAGGCUCGAAAGCAU
rnacentral:rRNA from 1 species